CAAACACAUGCUUUACCCUACACAGAUGCACCAUCUGGUUACAUAAGCACUCACUCGAUAGCGUGAGAAGGGAUGGACAGCAUGUACAUAUGGGCAUAACCACAUGACACAUAAAAUAGGUCGUCAAUCACUUCUCGACCCGUGCCGUGUACUUUACUCUCUCUGGUGAAUAUGAAAGUGAAAUCUCUUUUUCUGUCUGGGACUUGCACUGUCUCUCCUCGUGUCGUAACAAUAUGCUGCAUACCAGUCUGACAAGCUCUGCCAGUUUAACACUGCCUGCCUGUCUGUCUGUCCACAAGAUGUCUGCUUCACCUGCUAUCUACCACCCCAUCAGACACUGAAGGACCAGGAGCUAGGGGCUUACAGCCUGCUGCUCCUCCAUGGAUCCAGGACAAUUCAUGAAUGGCUUCUACUGCCACUAUAAGUUUUACCAUUUCUUCUCAAUUUGCUUUGGACUGGGUUGUGGAAUGGCAGUCUACCGACCAUAUCACCACAUUUUGACCCCGGCACUUCUGUCUGUGAUUUCCACUCUUAUAUUUGAAUUUGUGGGCAUGCUCUCUGAUCUGCCAGCUCACACUAAAA